rnacentral:lncRNA from 1 species
GUGAGGUAUUUCUGACUUUCUCACAUGAAACCUUAGGUACACGUAAUGACUCUCAUACAUAUGUUUUUGAUGUACAGGUUCAAGGAUUAUGUUGUAUUAGAUGGAAAAAAGUGUUCUUCAUUAGUGACUUGAGCUGUUUCGAAGAAUUGUAUGUGCAGAGGAAUUAAGAUGGAUGAAAUGUUUCAUUGGCUGUAGGAGCAGCAGGAUGCAUAACAUGGGAACAUUGCCGUAACCAUUAAAGGAUAUAAUGCAGAAUCCGUUAACAAUUUCUGCAGUGGAAUUAACUACAGGUGGCAAUGUUUUGCAUACCUCAGCCAGAGCUGGAGAGUCUUUUUCUGAAGACAUCUGGGUCAUGAAGAAAGAAAAGGGGGCACAACUAGAGCAAACAGAAACCUUGGACAGAGAUUCCCCAUUCAAAACUUACACCACUUAGGUGGUGGUUUUUUGCAUGCUAAUCCUGCAGAGA